rnacentral:lncRNA from 1 species
GGGUGCGCUAACAAACCAGAGGGAAAUGUUUGCAAUACAAACAAGCUGUAACCUGAAAGCACAGUUCUCAGGGAUGACGCUAUGGUGAAGAAACGCCGUUAAAAUGCUCACGAGGGAUCGCCCGCAGCUGUAAAGAACAGAUUCUCCUAAGGGUUGGAUUUAUUCAGUGGGGUUUGACCAAAGCAGAAUGAACCACUGAAAAAAGAAAGAAUGUCCUCCUACCCUGCAGAGGAAAUCUAAUGAGAAACACAGGAAGACACCGGGAAGGAGAAGAGGCUUUAAGCCUGUGUCUUACAGACAAAGACUGCCCACUGAACUGGUACCCAUUCGAUUACUGAUGUCAGGCAGAAGUUUGUUGGAUGGGGGUGGGGAAUGGAACGGUGCCUUGGAUGAUGAGAUGUUGACAUAGGGGAGGGGUGGCGGACUUCACACUUGAACGUUCUUUUGAUGGACCUGGUGGAGUGGCCCUGAGGAGCCAGUACAGAUUUUGCUUUUAACAGUCUUCUGGGUGAGGUCUGUGCAGGUGGCUUCUGGGCCACACUUUUGAAGGAACGACCAUAGUGCCAGGCUCGUGGUACAGAGAGAGCAAGACCAGAUCAUUAGCUCCAGAGUAGGGACCAUGUUCCCGAGCUCUGCCUCUCCAUCAGAAUUCUGGCUCCUCACUGGAGCUCCGCCUCACUUCUGUGCACCUAUGCUGAGCUGGAGAGCUGGCUCAGCUGGUAAGAGCACUGGCUGUCCUUCUAGAGUAUUUUGGUUUGAUUCCCAGCACCCACAUGGCAG